rnacentral:rRNA from 1 species
UACAGAGGUCUCAAGCGUUGUUCGGAUUCAUUGGGCGUAAAGGGUGCGUAGGCGGCGGGGCAAGUCUGGUGUGAAAUCCCGGGGCUCAACUCCGGAACUGCACUGGAUACUGCCUUGCUAGAGUACUGGAGAGGGAACUGGAAUUUACGGUGUAGCAGUGAAAUGCGUAGAGAUCGUAAGGAAGACCAGGGGCGAAGGCGAGUUCCUGGACAGUAACUGACGCGGAGGCACGAAGGCUAGGGGAGCAAACGGG